rnacentral:lncRNA from 1 species
CGCCCGCCCCCGUUGAUAUAAUUGCAAUAGUUUUUCAGGUAGAAAAAAAAUAUGACAGUAGCUGGGAACAAAUCUUAUAUUCCAUUUAUUCCAACAAAUCUGGAGAAUCAGGAUAACCCAACCGAUACGCAGCAGUUCAUAAUUUAUUACACAAUACACAAAGACACGCUAACAGGAUCCAAACAUUACUUUUGCUCAAAUACAGUACAACACAAAUUUGAAAACACGGAGAAUUCAUUCAAUCAGCCAUCAAGCAUGGCGUUGAGAGCAGCUUUCAGACGAGCCACCUGAUCCUUCAAAUUCUUUAUCUCCUCCGCAUCGGAGGCGGGG